rnacentral:other from 1 species
GCUAUCCGGGGCUAUCCAGCCCCGGCCUCAUUGAAGC